UAACAUGGCAGCCUGAAUGGUUCUGUUAC
rnacentral:piRNA from 1 species